UACGUAGGGUCCGAGCGUUGUCCGGAAUUACUGGGCGUAAAGAGCUCGUAGGUGGUUUGUCGCGUUGUUCGUGAAAACUCACAGCUCAACUGUGGGCGUGCGGGCGAUACGGGCAGACUAGAGUACUGCAGGGGAGACUGGAAUUCCUGGUGUAGCGGUGGAAUGCGCAGAUAUCAGGAGGAACACCGGUGGCGAAGGCGGGUCUCUGGGCAGUAGCUGACACUGAGGCGCGACAGCGUGGGGGAGCAAACAGG
rnacentral:rRNA from 1 species